rnacentral:rRNA from 1 species
AUGGGUGGAGGAGAGGCUGACGAUGGGGACAAGGAGCAACAGCAUCAUGGAUUUGCAGGGAAGGGGAGGUCCCGGCGGUUAAAGAUGGUGGAAGGAUUUUAUGAUAUAAAAGAGAACAACAAGAGGGUUUUCAUCUUUUUUAGCUGCAGAUCCACCCGACUCAUCCCAAGUUUUUGCAAGGCUCGUCUGCACACAUCAGUAGCUAUGGAAAGAAAGCUUGUACUGGAGUGGGUUCCUUUGUAUGGUCUUGGAAGAUUUUGCGGUCAAAGAGGGCUAAUCAUCGUCUGCCCUUUCAUGAAUGGCAGUUUGUUACACAAAAAGUUGCAUAUAUGUGUUGCUGAGACUCUCGAGCAGCGAGAAGCUGGAUCAACCAUGGAAGUUGUCGCUGUACAGACAAAAGCAAUUGCUGACAAGAUCGAGGACCAGGCCAAUGUGGUCGUCGCGCACAAACCAGUGUGGGCCAUUGGCACCGGUAAAGUUGCACCAUCGGCGCAGGCACACGAAGAGGCUGAAGGUGGUAGCUUACUGAACACUCAUUUUGGAAAAAAUCUGGACAUGUGUAGUGCUGAUAAAGAAAUGCAGGUACCUGCUACCUGGAUUUGCCGCUGCCACUGCCUCGAGUCGCUUUUGCUUGGAAAUCCAGUUGCCAGCAUGCUUGCCAGGGUGCGACCUAGUGGUUGGUGGCGGCUAGAUCCACUCUUGGAUCCUUCUUCUUCCACUUCCCCGCCGGCGAGGUCAGCUGCGACCUGGUGGUACCUGACAAUCUCGAUCCACUCUAGGAUCCUUCUUCUUCCACUUCCCCGCUGCCUAACACCGAGCACCGACAAGCUAGGCUGGGAGGCCCAGAGGCCGCUUGAUACCUGCUGGAUCCAAAAAAAGUUGAAACAUGUCAUGGGCUGCCCAUGUUAA